AUUACAUAAUGGCCACUUUGUCAGUGUCACAAAUCUCACUUUAAAAUUUUAUAAAUUUCUCUGCUUCUGUUAUACAAUGGCUUUACCGGUGCGGAUUCUUUCACGUUGCAAAGAGAGCGUAAAGCUUGGCAACAUCAGAUUUCCGUACAGCACGAGUGCAACACCUUAUGCUGAAACCAGGAAGAACUUGGUACUGACAUCAGAAACUAAAGUCAUUGUACAGGGCUUCACCGGCAAACAGGGUACAUUCCACAGCCAGCAGGCACUAGAUUAUGGCACUAAAGUGGUCGGUGGAGUCUCUCCUAAGAAGGCGGGGUCGGAACAUCUGGGCAAGCCGGUCUUCGGCACCGUGAGGGAGGCUAAGGAGAAAACAGGAGCAGAUGCAUCCGUCAUCUACGUACCGCCCCCUGGCGCAGCGGCUGCCAUCUUGGAAGCUAUUGAAGCAGAGGUUCCACUGAUUGUUUGCAUCACUGAAGGAGUACCUCAGCAUGACAUGGUGCGUGUAAAACAUGCCCUGCUCCGUCAGAACAAGUCAAGAUUGGUGGGUCCCAACUGCCCUGGUAUUAUUGCACCAGGCAAGUGCAAAAUCGGCAUCAUGCCCGCCGCUGUCCACAUGCAGGGGUGCAUCGGUGUUGUCUCCCGAUCUGGCACACUCACAUACGAAGCUUGCCACCAAACCACUGUGGCCGGUCUCGGGCAAACUCUGUGCGUCGGUAUCGGAGGUGAUCCGUUCAACGGUACAGACUUCAUCGACUGCCUAGAAGUGUUCCUGAAGGAUCCCAACACCAAGGGGAUUAUUCUCAUCGGUGAGAUUGGUGGCAACGCCGAGGAGUUGGCUUCGGAGUACUUGACUCAACACAACACUAGCAAGGGUCAAAAAGCCAAGCCAGUAGUGUCAUUCAUCGCUGGGCUGACCGCUCCACCCGGACGACGAAUGGGCCACGCCGGCGCCAUCAUUUCCGGCGGAAAAGGAGGCGCCAUGGACAAAAUCAAGGCUCUAGAAAAAGCUAACGUCAUUGUCACUCGCUCUCCCGCCAAAAUGGGCGUCGAACUACUCAAAGAGAUGAAACGAUUAGAAAUCGUCUAAAUUCUAAAAGUCAAAUACAAAUUUAAUUUGUAUAGUAUAUAGUUAUAUUGAAGUUAUUUAUUUAAUCGACGUGUUAAAAGUCCUAAGAAGUGGGUGAACUUGACACCAAACCUUGUCUAUUAAAUCUCAAUGUUGGCACUAAAUAUUAGCAGGGCACUUGUUAGUGUAAGCUUGUUGUCCAUAUUUGAUAAUUUAAGUAUUAAUUUUCAUAUAAAUUUACAGCUAAAAUAAAUCAUUGUAUGGUAUGUGUUGAAGUUAUAUUGUUAAAUUAAUGCUACAUGUGUAAUAAAUAUACUCUUAUUACCUCAGAGAAAUGUUUCUAUUGUAUUAUUUAUAUGUAUUUAUUAUAAUUAAUUAAACUUCUUUGUAUAGUAUA